UUUUCCAGCUGAGUAUUUUUGAAAGAGGAGACUGGAAAAUUUACAUGGCAAGUCUUAGCUGGAGGAAGUGGGACCUUGAAGGUGAGUUGAGAAGCAGAGCAAUCUUUCUGGAAACCAUACCCCAAAGAACUUUUCAGAAUCCCACUGGUUCCUGUCACUGCUCUGUCAUUCCUCAGCAGUGUUUCCUAGCACAAGCAUUGCUAUGGAUACAUCUCCAACAUCUCAGUGGACAAAAGCCGAAACAAAUAUGGGUUGGAGAAUACUAUUUUAAGGUGUGUUACUUUUGCUUAUGUUGCAUUUGUUUAACUCUGUAAAGCUGUGAAUAUUUUGCUUGUCUAAAACACCUGAUGGUCUAAUAAAGAACUGAAUGGCUAAUAGCAAGGCAGGAUAAAGGAUAGGUAGGGCUGGCAGGCAGAGAGAAUAUAUAGAAAGAGAAAUCUAAGAAAAGGAGAUCUAGGAGCCAGAGAAGGAGGAAGACAUCAGGGGCCAGCCACCCAGCUACACAGCAAGCCACGGAGUAAGCAUAAGAUUUACAGAAGAAAGAGAAUGGGAAAAGCCCAGAGGCAAAAGGUACAUGGGAUAAUUUAAGCUAAGAAAAGCUGGCAAGAAACAAACCAAGCUAAGGCCAGACAUUUAUAAGAAGUAAUAAGCCUCUGUGUGUGAUUUACUUGGGAGCUGGGUGGUGGGCCCCCCAAAAGAGUAAAAUACCAACAUCAUUUUGGCACACCAACAUGGCGUUCGAAUAUCCCUAAGGCCUGAAAAAGCUGAAAAAAAAAUACAGCUCCUUUAAGAGUUUUUGCUGGACAGUUUCUGCCAGACACUGACACCUUGAACAGCUAGUGAGUUAAGAAGGAGCAAAAAAAAAAAAAAAACAACUAA